UUGGAGGGCAAGUCUGGUGCCAGCAGCCGCGGUAAUUCCAGCUCCAAUAGCGUAUAUUAAAGUUGUUGCAGUUAAAAAGCUCGUAGUUGAAUUUCGGAGUUUGUCGGUCGGUCGGGCUUCACUGGCCGCACUGGCCUGAUGGAUUCCUACCUUCUGAAUAACCAGCAUGCUAUUAAGUUAGUGCGUUGGGGAAGCAGAGCUAUUACCUUGAAAAAAUUAGAGUGUUUAAAGCAGGCUAACGCUUGAAUACAUUAGCAUGGAAUAAUGAAAUAGGACGUUUGAUUCUAUUUUGUUGGUUUCUAGGAUCGACGUAAUGAUUAAUAGGGAUAGUUGGGGGCAUUAGUAUUCAAUUGUCAGAGGUGAAAUUCUUGGAUUUAUUGAAGACUAACUACUGCGAAAGCAUUUGCCAAGGAUGUUUUCAUUAAUCAAGAACGAAAGUUAGGGGAUCGAAGACGAUCAGAUACCGUCGUAGUCUUAACCAUAAACUAUGCCGACUAGGGAUCGGAUGAUGUUAAUUUUUUAAUGACUCAUUCGGCGCCUUACGGGAAAC
rnacentral:rRNA from 1 species